rnacentral:rRNA from 1 species
GACGAACGCUGGCGGCGUGCUUAACACAUGCAAGUCGAACGGAAAGGCCCUGCUUUUGUGGGGUGCUCGAGUGGCGAACGGGUGAGUAACACGUGAGUAACCUGCCCUUGACUUUGGGAUAACUUCAGGAGACUGGGGCUAAUACCGGAUAGGAGCUCCUGCUGCAUGGUGGGGGAUGGAAAGUGUCGGCGGUUGGGGAUGGACUCGCGGCUUAUCAGCUUGUUGGUGGGGUAGUGGCUUACCAAGGCUUUGACGGUUAGCCGGCCUGGGAGGGUGACCGGCCACAUUGGGACUGAGAUACGGCCCAGACUCCUACGGGAGGCAGCAGUGGGGAAUAUUGCACAAUGGGCGGAAGCCUGAUGCAGCAACGCCGCGUGCGGGAUGACGGCCUUCGGGUUGUAAACCGCUUUCGCCUGUAACGAAGCGUGAGUGACGGUAAUGGGUAAAGAAGCACCGGCUAACUACGUG